rnacentral:rRNA from 1 species
GCGGCGAACGGGUGAGUAACACGUGAGCAACCUGCCCCCGACUCUGGGAUAAGCGGUGGAAACGCCGUCUAAUACCGGAUACGACCCGCCACCUCAUGGUGUGCGAGUGGAAAGUUUUUUCGGUUGGGGAUGGGCUCGCGGCCUAUCAGCUUGUUGGUGGGGUAAAGGCCUACCAAGGCGAUUACGGGUAGCCGGCCUGAGAGGGCGACCGGCCACACUGGGACUGAGACACGGCCCAGACUCCUGCGGGAGGCAGCAGUGGGGAAUAUUGCACAAUGGGCGAAAGCCUGAUGCAGCGACGCCGCGUGGGGGAUGACGGCCUUCGGGUUGUAAACCUCUUUUACCACUAACGCAGGCUCCACGUUCUCGUGGGGUUGACGGUAGGUGGGGAAUAAGGACCGGCUAACUACGUGCCAGCAGCCGCGGUAAUACGUAGGGUCCGAGCGUUGUCCGGAAUUAUUGGGCGUAAAGAGCUCGUAGGCGGCGUGUCGCGUCUGCUGUGAAAGACCGGGGCUUAACUCCGGUUCUGCAGUGGAUACGGGCACGCUAGAGGUAGGUAGGGGAGACUGGAAUUCCUGGUGUAGCGGUGAAAU